CCGACAAAAAAAAACGCGUUGGCUACCGCGCGUCUUCCCCGCGACCCCCGCCUCCUGUCCUACCGCCGUCGCCGAUGCCCGUGACCUAGCCCGCGUGUCUCCCCCACGACCCCCGCCUCCUCUCCCGCUGCUGCCACCGCCGGCGCCGGCGCCGGAGAAGCUCGCCUCCGCGCCCACAAGCCUCGGAUCCGGCAGGAUCCGGGACGAGGAUGGGUGGAUGAGACGGGGGAGGAGGAGGAGAGUGUGGGGGUGUCUGGGGAGGAGCGAGGGGUGAGAAGAUGAGAGGGAGAGAGAGAAGAGGUGGUGUAGCAGGGCCGGACCGCCGUCCUCUUCCACUCCAUCAACAGGCUUUCUCAACAGCAGGCUGCACCACCGCUCGAAAGCCACCGGUCUUCUUCCACUCCAUCAAUAGUUACAAUUUCAGCGGCAGGGAGUGGUUGCCAUAUUGGAAACGAAGCAAGAACUGGAUGGAGCUCAGGAUUUUGCUACUACCUUGCUAAUAGCUUUGUGAGGCAUGUCACCGAUGGCAAGUGCAAGAAGAAAGCACCAAGGAAAAUCCACAAAUCCAAGAGGCAGAAGCAUAAGCGCGUCCUGCUCAAUGAUCUCUUGGGUGAACUUAUCAAAAUGCUACGUGAGUUAAAUAGGUGUGCAUCAAUCACUAGCCCCCUCGACACCUUAUAGAUUACGUCACAGCUAGCGUUGCUUCAGUGAAGCUGUCUCUUAAUUUGGGGGGUCGUUUCCUUUUCCAUGUGGUUAUUUGGAAUGUCAGAGUUGAGCGUGGGUAUGUAUGAAUCUGGGUCAUGUUGUUACAAUCCAUGUCCAAUUGUCCAAGUCAUGCUUUUGGGGUGAAUACUGGGGUUCGGUAUGUGUCAUGGAUUUCUUUAGUAGAUCCCAAUGAAUGUUUAUGCCGCUGAAAACGUGGAUGACCUCAUUGAAAAUUAGUAACACCAGAAGACCUCUCGAUGUUUGUUGACAAUUCAUUACAUUGUGCAUAAUUGUCAGCAUAUAAAACUGUGUAGUACCUGCAUCCAUUAAUUCCAAUCUUUUUCUAAUCCAUCUGUCUCAGGCUCUCAGCCAUGCAUCUUGCAUCAAACUGUAUGUGCCUUGGAGUAUAUUGCUUCUUAUAUUGCACCCAUUAUUAGUGAAGAAAUUGCGAAAUGCUUACUAUGCAUGGUGAUUAUUUAAUCAGAGUAACAUCUGACAUGAAAAGGCACUUCAAAUCAGGGCUAAUUUUCACGCCUGAAUACCUUUUACUUAGAACAAAGUACUGGUACAUCUUCUCUAUUUUUAAAUGUAGCCAUCCCACUCUCCCUGGAAGCCCCGCCCCCUGCUACAUUUUCAUGGUCACCGCCCCCAGGAACGGCUACAAGAUGAAGCGACGCACAAGGUUUCUUCUCGCCUUCUUCUGGUUUUUCUCUUUGAUAUCCAUUUGUUGCCUUGGGUAUUUCUUGAUUCCUUCUCUUGUGUGUGUGUGUGUGUGCGCGCGCGCCGGGUGGGAGCAUCUACUGCACUAAUAGAAUGCCAAGCAUAGGAAGAGGCUCCCCAAGAUGAUAUAUGCUUCUUCAGUUUACGCACAUUUUUUAGAACUUUUUUCACCCAAUGAUAAUUCAUUACUGCUUGAACUCUCCAUGGUCAGACAAUUUGGUUGGUGUCAUGUUCUGAAUGCAUGGUGAUAUUGAGCACGUACAAGGCUUUCCGAUUCAACCGCAAUUUCCAGGGUAGUUGUUCUAGCAGGAUAUUGUAUUUGUUACGGAAAACACGGAUGAGUAAUUACAUGAUAUAUUAUUAAUAUUAAACUGUGUUGUUUCUCUGAAACUAACUUGGUAUUUCAGCUAUGGAAACUGAUGUUCUAACCUUAGUUCCAUAGAUGAAUCUUUGUUGUCUUUUUCAGAAAGGGAAUGUCUGGUAUAUCUUUCUUUGUGGAUUUAUUCAAUGAGUUUUCUACAUUGGGCUGCAUUGUUAAGAAAGAGUUUGAUGAUGCCACAAGAGCAAGAAUUAAAAGUCGUUUGUAGAACCAUGUUUCCUCAUGGCAGGAGGCGAGCAAUACUUUACUAUUACAAUGUUCAUUUUCAAUACAAUCAGAAGUAUGACACUGAUUGUCAAUUGUGCGUUCAUGCAGGUUGCGCGUUCAUGCAAUACUUUACCCAUGAAAUAGAAGAGUUGUGCAGACGUGUGAUUCAAGUUCUUCGACGGAAUGGGCCCAACUCAUUCAGUGAAGAAAUUUCAAGGUUCUCUUUCGGAACUGGUUUGAGCUUCUAUAAGUUCAGUUUGAAGAACAGUAUCACAGAAUAAGGAAUCAUGAAAAUAAUGAGGUAACAGCAGAGGGUGAGUGUUGCAAAAAAGAUUGAUGACUGGAGCUAAAAACAGGCAAGAGAAUGUACAGAAAAGCCUUACUUUAGAUUUAGCCAGUAGAGCACGUGCCCUUCGCAUAGGGAUAAUAACUUUUAGUAAAACAGCAGCACCGGUUUGAUUCAGGGUAUACAAUAUCUUACAAACAGUCAAGGAUUCACCAACUCACCAGUCAAGCAUUAGAUAGAUAACAAAAAGGUAGGAAUAACAUGUGUGCAGAAGUACAUUCCUACUCAUCAUGAGGAUCGGUGUCAAGAAGGAACUAGGGAUACCCAUAGCAUUUCCCCACUGUUUAAUUAAUCUUAGUGGAACUGGGUGGUCAUGUAAAUUAGUUUCACUUGGGGUGCAUCCAUCAGCCUCCUUAACCACAUAAUAGACAGUGGAGCUGAAACUUCCCCUCUUUUUUUAAGAAUGCCUAGUCGGGUUCUUCUCCUACCAGUAUCGAAUAGAACUCGAAAUCGAAUUUCAUUGCGGGAAAUUAGGAUUUCAUGAGGGAGGGAAAGGGGGUGGAGAGUCGUACAACGCAUUGGUGGGAUGAAGAUCAGAGAAGCGAAUGCCUCUCAUAAUUGAUUGAAAAGUGCUCUGCUGCUUCAAAUAUCAUGACAAUUCAAAUACAAACUGCAGGCCUGUACUUACGGUCAGAGAUGAUGGCUGAACAUUCCUUAUUUCCAAUAACAAUACUUUCCGCUUGAAGGAAGUUUCUUAUUGGAUUACAUAAUGCUUCCAGAUCAUCUUCGUUCUGGUCAUAGCUAUUCUGAGUUGUCAUAGUCUUCAAUGUUAGGCAUCUAGGUGCCCUAAGCAGCUUGUCAUUGACUGAUUGAUUUAGAAAACACAUAGAUUCCUGUUUCGCCUGUAGAUAAAGUAUGGUUAAAUAGUUAUGGAAUUCCUCAGGAACUGUGUCCUGAAGUUUCCCACUUUCGAAGAAACUGGAAACCCAUAAUAGUUUCUAUGGUUAUCUAUGAUCUCUUCUAGGUGCUUGGCAAACUCAUACUCCCUGUGUGAGGUAAUAUAUAAGAUCUUUUAGAUCAUUAAAGUAGUGAUCUAAAAAGUCUUAUAUUAUUUUACAGAUGGAGUCUUCUUUACCACUUAUAAGCAACAUACUCACUGAAUCUACUCACGCUCAUUCUGGAGUGAUGAAGAAUUGAGAUGAUAAUGGAAAUAAGAUCCAUGACAUGUUGUUCCUAAGAUGUGCGACUGAUUGCAAUGGAACAAUAUGCGGAUGCACAAGUUCUUACCAAAACAGAGGUAGCACGGUCUAGAAUAUGGGACACCAAACUGCAAGGGACUUAGGAAGAAUUAUUGUGUGUUGAAACUGAGAGUUGAAAGGGAAGCUAGCAACUGGUCAUGUAUAUCAGACACCUAUCACAAGCAAUUGAUACUGAUAGAGUCCAAAUACUACAGUCAAUUGUGAUUCGAAUAAUUCUAAGCUUAAAAGAACCUCGAAUCCAACAACAUUUUCCGCGCACCAUCUACUCGAUGGUAUGCCCAUAUGGAUUGUUUGAUCUCUUC